AUGGUACACAGAGGUCACUGGUGUUCAAGCGCCAGCUCCAUGCACCCCAGGGUUUGGGGGUGGUCUUUGCUCGCUUUUCAUUCUGUCCUCGUGACGCCUGCGCCCUUCCGACACAGCCGAGACUGGUACACCCCCAGCAGGGAGCUGGCUAACAGUACCCAGUCCGUGGAACCAUGGCACUCUGGUGGGCGCACCUGCUGGGACCUGGAGACACCCCACCCCACCCAGCGCCUCCACACACCUUCCUGCCACAGCCUUGACCCACGCAGCCCGCUGGGACACACGCUCACACGGGUUCCUGGGUGGCCCUGGGAGCGGCUGGCGGGUGGGAUGCCCAGGAGAAGGGGAGCCCCGGGAGGCGAGAGCACGGCACCCAGCUGUGUGUGGAGGGUGGAGGCUGAGCGCGCAGGCCACCUGUCAUGGUGGAUAACCAGGCUGAUGGCCUCAAGAGCACGGCUCUUGGCGCUGGAGUGCUGCACCUUCUUGGACUUAGGCGGCUCCUGGGCUUUGUUGAGAAUCGCCUCCAGGCACUCGGUCAGGCGGCCACGCACUGCAGGGUCUUCUGGGGGCGGGUAGCACUGCAGGAGCCGCAGGAGCUUGACCGACAGCCAGGGGCGGGACAAAGUAGUAGGUGUAAUCCUGAAGGUCCGUGGAGGCCGACGCCACGAUCUGCGCAGAAAGCACAGCAAGAUGAGAUGCGGGGCUGGAGUCCCCAAGAGCCCCACGCCGUGUGCUAAGAACAGACACGCUUGUCCAGGUCUGAGGAACAGGAGCUCAGCCCCAGCCCCAGAAGAGCCACUGCACAAGGACACCCCGCCCAAGGGACACAGGCCUGCGGGCACCCGCCCUCAGGACCCAGGCCUCCAGAGCCUGGGCGGGGAGCCCCACCUUUCCCGACUGGCCCCACGCCCACCAUCCUCAGGGCCGGCCCGAGCACAGGGUCUCCACUCUCACCCCACCACCUGCGGCCCGGGUCUGGGCAGAUGACACACCGCACCCGUGCACACACCCGCAAACCCACUACACGUGCCCCCAGACCCCACGGCUGGGGCUCGGAGUGGCUCCCUCACAGGCUCGGCCAUGACACCAGGUCACCUGAGAGGGGAGCUCCAGGCUGGGCAGAGCAGUGGGGGCCCAGCAGGAGCAGCCAGUGGGCAGGCGCGGAGCAGGCCCAACCACGCCGCCAGGGACACAGCUGGCCACCCAAGGCUGCCUUUCCAGUGCCCUCAGGCAGCUAAACCAGGCUCAGAGUUAAACUUAGAGCAUUAAAUGCACAUAUGUGAAACAAAUACAAAAACAAAAGUAUUGGAGAAUUAAUCUCAAGGGUUUGGAAGAGACUAGCAAAUUAGCCCAAAGAUAGUAGAGGGAAAACAAUAAAGAUACAAGCAGAAAGUAAUAAGGUACAAAAAUCAAAACAGGACCAAUAAAGUCAAAGAAAUUCUUUCAUACUUGAUGAGCUAAAUCCAGCACAACAAAGGGCAAAUACCCAACACAAAAUGAGGACGGAGGCCACAGCGCAGGGCCAACAAGGGACUUUCUGCCCAAACACCUGGCGUUCGUGUAAGUUAGCAAGCGUUAAGAAAAUGCCACUUAACAAAAGAAAAUCUGAGGCCUCAUCACUUACUACAUAAACUGAAUCCAUAAUUAGCGGUCGCCCACAAAGAAAAUCCUACGCUCAAAGGCCGCAGCAAGCCCUCC
ensembl:lncRNA